CACUGAGGCCAGCAGGGACAGCUCGGAAGCGGCAAAAGGGUUCCUUUGAGGGUCCAAGGAGCACAUCCAUUUCAGGGUCCUCUCCAAAAAAACCCAGGAGAGAGCCAGGGCCAUACAGAGCAGUGCUGCCCUGCUCAAAUUUGCCACCUCCCUGCCUGCAUUUGAGGGCUGAACAUCAGAGAGGCAAGAGAGCUGUGGUGUCGGGACGGGCUCCAGGACACCGAGCGCCUGGGCUAUAGGAACAUGGCCAGGAUGGGGGGAGGUAAGGACUCUCCACCGGUGCUCAGGUGUGGCGCUGUCUCCCCCCCACCCCUGCAGUGAGCGUGUCAUGGAUACAGGGCAAGAGCCUGCUACUUGUUUCCAGCAGAGUAUGUGAGGCUCAUGGGAAUGUCAGUGAGGUGAAAAAAAAACAAAACAGGAGUACUUGUGGCACCUUAAAGACUAACAAAUUUAUUGUAGCAUGAGUUUUCGUGAGCUAAAGCUCACUUCUUCGGAUGCAAGGUGAGGUGAGGCAUGGGAAUGAUCCAGAUCUGAAAGACCCCUAAUCUCUAGCAGGUGAGCUGCAGGAGAGAUUGCUGCUGGGAGCAGUAGUGUCCUUUUUUGUCUGUAUGAGUUGGGUUCCAGAGUGCGCAGACACAUUUCCAGCAUCUCAUGACACCUGCGGUGAAUCCUGCUCCAGAAAGAGCUAUUCGAGGCCUCAGUGCCUGCAACCUCUUACUUACCAAGGGGGGCUCCUUGGUCAAUGGGUUGGCUGCCCCAGGACUCUUAUCCACCUUGUGAGCCACUAGAGGGAUUUGGAGCCUGGUUCUGGACAAUUGCAAGGGCUCUGGUGCUGUAGGUUUUAGGUCUUCGGCAGACCAAUGAAGAACUUUCCUCCAAGUGGCGCUUCUGACCAUACACGACCCCCAGCUCCAUGUCAGCCAGCCUGGGCUGGUGCUCACAUAUUCCAUCCGGGGGGAAGCCAGUCAGCUGAUAGGGGAUGAGGUAACCAAAGGGGGAUCAACUGGGGAGGGACCCCCCUCCCCAGGGCCUUUCACCUCCAGGCCAUUGGAAACCACUCUCAUCUCAUCCCCAUGCGCUGACCAGGGAGCAAGGGGAGGAUGAAGCCAAGCAGGUGCCAUUGGCAGGUGCCAGCUUGUUCCCUGAGCAGCUCAAAGCAGGGUAGACCCAGCUCUCCAGUAAGGCUAGUUCCUAACAGGCAUCACAUCAACACGACAUGCUGCCAUUGCUCAUGCUAGGGGCGGCAAACUCCCCUAGCCAUCUCUGUGAGCCUUUCAUACCCCUCAGGGCCUCAGGCCGGUUCCUAGUGCUCUGGUAUCAUGUUAUCCCAGCCACCACCUGCUCUGGGAGAACUGGAGAAGUUAGUCAGCAGAGGCUGCUUAAGUGCCUCAGUCACCAGAGCUACUGUCCAUGGCCUCAUGUGAAGGACAGGAGGAUCCCUUGGGGAAAGGUGUCCACUUCCUCUCACCCCACGGCACUACUGCCCAAAGCCUCCCAGCCCCUCAGCUUGACGAGGAGACGGUGGCUGAGGGGAUUUGGGAGGAGCUGAGCUGAAUCCCCAGCUGGGUUGGGAGGUAGAACAGCUCUCACGGGAGGACUGAGAGGAGUGGGGGCAGGAGUUCAUUCCACAUUGGUGGGAGAGGGGUUGGAAGUCACUAGAGAGGAGACAAGAUUUCAU